AUUGUGCCCGCACUGUGGCAAACACAAGAGGACAUGAAUGGUUGGCGGUGCAGUGUGGUGGAAGUGCAUUGCAGUGGAUCCCAAGGAAACCAGAGGCAAAUUCUGGCUCUGCCACUAGCAAGGCUCUGUGGCUAGGGUACCCCUGUGGAAUUCAGCCUCCUCAUCCGUGAAAUGAAGAAGUGAAACAAAAACAUCUUAAUGUUAUUUCUAACACCUGCUUUCUCUGGAUUCAGCAUCAGAAUAUAUCCAGAUAAGACUGCAAACAACUGAGAGAGCUAAUUCUUUGCUGUUGGUUACCUUCCAAAGAACAGGGGUUGACCUGGUUUUGCUCAUCCUUGUACAUACACCAUCUG
rnacentral:lncRNA from 1 species